UAUACGACAGUUAGGCUAAAAUGGCCGCCAAUAUUGAGGAAAAUCAAACCACAUUGUUUACGGUUUAAUUUUUGCGUUUUCUAUAUAUAUAUAAAAGAAAGGGUUAACUCUCUCACUCCCUGCCUUCCCAAUGGAUGAACCAGAUUUUGAGGCACAGCUGGUGCAGGAAAAGAUAGAGGAAGAACAGAAAAAGAUCAAGACCAAGGUUGAUGAGGAUGGAACAGAAUAUGAAUGGGAUGAUGGAAAAAAGGCCUGGUUUCCAAAGAUUGAUGAUGAUUUUAUAGCCCGAUAUCAAAUGGGCUAUGGUAUUGCAGAAGCAGACUCUGCAUCCUCCGAUUUCCCAGCUGCCCCAGCAGAUACCAAUAGCCUUGAGUACAAAGAGUGGUAUGAGCAAUACUGUAAGAAAUAUUACGGUGAACAAUGGGCACAAGGUCAGGAGGCGACAGGAGGCAUGGAUGCCAAGGGGAAUGGAGAGGAAGAUAGUGAAAACUCAGUCGAUGAAAACAGUGACGAAUACAGGAAGAAAUAUUUUGAUAACUACGCAUACUACUAUGGACAUGAGGCAGCUGUGGAGUAUUGUGGAUAUGAUUAUUACAAAAAGGAAAACACAGAGGAAAAGGCAGCAGAUGAAAAUCAGAAGAACAAGAAGGGGAAGAAACGAAAAAAGACAGCAGAACCAAAAAAGCCAGAAGAACCUCCCUCCUGGUUUGAUGUUGACGAAUCAAAGAACACCAAUGUGUAUGUGUCAGGCCUGCCUCUGGAUAUCACUGAUGAGGAGUACCGGGAACUGAUGGGCAAGUACGGCCUCAUUAUGGCAGACCCUGUUAACCGUGGACUCAAGCUCAAACUCUACAAGGAUAGCGAAGGGAAUCCUAAAGGGGAUGGACGAUGCUGUUUUAUAAAGGUUGAAUCUGUGGAACUUGCCAUGAAGUUUCUGGAUGACUCUGAGCUCAGAGGUCACAAGGUCAAGGUGGAACUGGCCAAGUUUAGCAUGAAGGGAGACUUUGAUCCCAACAAACGAAAGAAAAAGCUCAGCAACAAAGACAAGCGAAAGUUCAAGGAAAAACAGGCAAAAUUGUUUGACUGGAGACCAGAGAAGAAGGAAUUGGGGGAAGUUGCUGGUGCUGCACGACAGAAGAAUGAGAAAGUUGUGGUCUUAAAGAACAUGUUUGAUCCCAAUGAAUUUGAAGAGGACCCCACCUUAAUUAACGAUCUGAGGGACGAUGUCAGGAUGGAAUGUGGCAAAUUUGGAGAGGUGAAAAAUGUUAAAAUAUUCGACAACCAUCCUGACGGUGUGAUGAUGGUAUACUUUAAGGCAGCAGAUUCGGCUGAUGGCUGUAUAGCGGCCCUUCACCAGCGAUGGUUCUCUAAGCGGCGAGUCAUUGCGCAGCAGUGGGACGGACGAACCAAGUAUGAAAUCGAGGAGUCCGAGGCAGAGAGGAAUGAACGAUUAUCUAAAUGGGAAAAGUUCCUGGAAAGUGAUAAUACGAAAUCACAGGGAGAAAGUGAAUGUGUCGUUACAAAAUCUCAAAGUGAUGAUGCCGUAGACAAGAGUGCUAAAACGGACUCAAAAUCUGAACCAAAUGAUGUUGAAGUUCAACCAAAUAACAACAAAGGACAGGACGACAUUGGUUCCAUUGACAAGAGCAAUGGUAAAGGGUCUAGCAAUUCCCAAGACGUCUCCUUAGACACCAUGCCCUCCGAGGAAGAGACCGGCGAUUCAGCAAUGAUCACAGAAUAAAUUACAUAAGGAAUAUACAAUGUCUUUUUUUUAUCAAUCGAUCGCAGCACAUGACGUUCUAUUUUAUAACUAUUCUUAUAUCGGGCGAUACCAUGUGACAUAGCCUGUUCUCGCAACUUAAAAAGUAAUAUGUUUUCAAAGUGAACUCAUUUACGCGAGUAUUUAAAAUAUAAACAUAUUGUAUGUCAAAAUCAAAGUAUUGUUAUGAGAUGUUCGGGAAGUUUCAUGUAAUUACGAAAGAAAGUGAUGUUAUGUAAUAUUCGAAAUGUGAAUUAGGUUAGCAUCAUAGUAACUUUAGAUGAUAUUCGGAAUGUUACACUGUAUUUAAGAAUUGGAGUAAUGUUAUGAAAUAUACGGAAUGAUGAUAACGUACAAAUCGAGGCAAUAUUAUGAAACAUUCAGAAUGUUAAUUGCCUAAGAAUCAAAGUUGUAUUAUGCACAUUCAAAAAUGUUAAUUACGUAGAAAUUUUAAAGUUAUUUGUGUAAUAUUCAGAACGUUAAUUACGUAAAUUAGGUACAUUGUUAGUAUCCAAUUAAUGUUGAGAAUUGUAAUAACUGCUUGAAUUAUUCAGACAACCAAUUAAGAAUUAAAGUAAUAAUAUUAAAUAUUCAGAAUGUUAAUUAGUUAAGAAUGGAAUCAAUUGUGUGGACUGUUUCUAAUUGUACGUGCAUUACAAUCUCGGAUUAAAUUGGAAAUAAACAGACUGGAUCAUACAAUAUA
rnacentral:misc_RNA from 1 species